rnacentral:rRNA from 1 species
UACGUAGGGUGCAAGCAUUAUCCGGAGUGACUGGGCGUAAAGAGUUGCGUAGGUGGACAAGUAAGCGAAUAGUGAAAUGUGGCGGCUCAACCGUACACACUAUUAUUCGAACUGCUCGUCUCGAGAAUGGUAGAGGUAACUGGAAUUUCUAGUGUAGGAGUGAAAUCCGUAGAUAUUAGAAGGAACACCAAUGGCGUAGGCAGGUUACUGGACCAUUUCUGACACUAAGGCACGAAAGCGUGGGGAGCGAACCGG